rnacentral:lncRNA from 1 species
GGAUUAGUUACUUGCACUAUCUUAGCAGACAAACCACAAAUAGAGAAUAAAAUGAAUACAUAGAUUUACGUGAAAAUUCUUUACAGAAAAAAACUACAUACAAGCGAGAAAGGAGAGAACUUCACUAUGCAGAAAAUGAAAUACAAUGUUUCUAAGUACAAUCAAUCGAUGUACUGCCUCUAGGGCAAAAUUAAAAAAAGAAACUUCUUAAUUGGUUUUGGAUCCGAUCCCACCAUCAACAUCCAUUUUUUUUUCACAAUUUUUUUUUUCAAAAAAUCUAUCACACCAUAAAACUAUAGACGAAUCAAGGGUCCAAAAUCAAAAUCGAUAACCAAAUUUCAAGGCACCUUUAAUAGAUUAACAGUAAAAUGCAAGAAAGAAAACUACUGACACAUUUCAUGUAUAUAGUGGUUUACUAAUUAAGAUUUUGUUGAGGAUUGGUUGCAUUACACAUGAUGAGAAAGUACAUUAGAAAAUAAUUUCUUUUUUAUUGUA